GCCAGUGUAGUUUAAUGGCAGAACGCAUGAAUGGUAAUCAUGAAAUUCAAGUUCGAUUCUUGGCUCUGGCACCA
rnacentral:tRNA from 2 species